rnacentral:rRNA from 1 species
CGCUGGCGGCAGGCCUAACACAUGCAAGUCGAGCGGUAGAGAGAAGCUUGCUUCUCUUGAGAGCGGCGGACGGGUGAGUAAUGCCUAGGAAUCUGCCUGGUAGUGGGGGAUAACGUUCGGAAACGGACGCUAAUACCGCAUACGUCCUACGGGAGAAAGCAGGGGACCUUCGGGCCUUGCGCUAUCAGAUGAGCCUAGGUCGGAUUAGCUAGUUGGUGAGGUAAUGGCUCACCAAGGCGACGAUCCGUAACUGGUCUGAGAGGAUGAUCAGUCACACUGGAACUGAGACACGGUCCAGACUCCUACGGGAGGCAGCAGUGGGGAAUAUUGGACAAUGGGCGAAAGCCUGAUCCAGCCAUGCCGCGUGUGUGAAGAAGGUCUUCGGAUUGUAAAGCACUUUAAGUUGGGAGGAAGGGUUGUAGAUUAAUACUCUGCAAUUUUGACGUUACCGACAGAAUAAGCACCGGCUAACUCUGUGCCAGCAGCCGCGGUAAUACAGAGGGUGCAAGCGUUAAUCGGAAUUACUGGGCGUAAAGCGCGCGUAGGUGGUUUGUUAAGUUGGAUGUGAAAUCCCCGGGCUCAACCUGGGAACUGCAUUCAAAACUGACUGACUAGAGUAUGGUAGAGGGUGGUGGAAUUUCCUGUGUAGCGGUGAAAUGCGUAGAUAUAGGAAGGAACACCAGUGGCGAAGGCGACCACCUGGACUAAUACUGACACUGAGGUGCGAAAGCGUGGGGAGCAAACAGGAUUAGAUACCCUGGUAGUCC